UGAACGGUGAUGCCCCUACUGAGGCGAUC
rnacentral:sRNA from 1 species